rnacentral:tRNA from 1 species
GCAUUGGUGGUUCAGUGGUAGAAUUUUUGCCUUCCAUGCAGGAGGCUUGAGUUCAAUUCCCAGCCAAUGCA